ACGCAAUAGAUACCCGGGUAGUCCACGCCGUAAACGAUGGGCACUAGACGCUGGUGGGAUCGACCCCUUCAGUGUCGAAAGCUAAACGCGAUAAGUGCCCGCCUGGGGAGGUACGGCCGCAAGGCUGAAACUCAAAGGAAUUGACGGGGGCCCGGCACAAGCGGUGGAGCAUGUGGUUUAAUUACGAAGCAACGCGAAGAACCUUACCUGGGCGUUGACAUCUACAGGAAACUCUCGUGAAAGCGGGAGCCCUCUUCGGAGUCUGUAGACAGGUGCUGCAUGGCUGUCGUCAGCUCGUGUCGUGAGAUGUUGGGUUAAAGUCCCGCAACGAGCGCAACCCUUAUUCUCUGUUACCAGCGGGUAAAGCCGGGGACUCUGAGAAGACUGCCGGUGACAAACCGGAGGAA
rnacentral:rRNA from 1 species